GCUUUCGUAGUAUAAGUGGUUAACACAUUCAGCUUGCAACUGAAAGAUCCGUGGUUCGACUCCUGGCGAAGGCA
rnacentral:tRNA from 1 species